CCUGGAUCCAUUCAGGAGGGUGGGAUCAUUCACAGAGCUCACUUCUGUCCUUGAUUGAGUUUUCUUCAGCCAUUUCCUCCUCCCUAGGUGUAGACCUACUAUCAGGAGUCUGCUCGCUCCUCCAGGAACUUAUCUCAGUGAUAACUCACUUGCGAAGUCAAAGCCCGUCAGCUGCUGUCAGAGCUCAUAGACUGAAACGGACCUGGGUAGGAGACUUUUCAACAAAAGUCAUCUAGAUCACCACAGCCUACCGCACCCUAGAUGUCCUGGAACUUGCUUUGUAGACCAGACUGGAUUGGAACUUACAGAGAUCCGCCU
rnacentral:lncRNA from 1 species